rnacentral:rRNA from 1 species
UACGUAGGGGGCUAGCGUUGUCCGGAAUCAUUGGGCGUAAAGCGCGCGUAGGCGGCCAGAUAAGUCCGGUGUGAAAGCCACAGGCUCAACCUGUGAAUGCCGCUGGAAACUGUCUGGCUAGAGUCCGGGAGGGGCGAGUGGAAUUCCUGGUGUAGCGGUGAAAUGCGCAGAUAUCAGGAGGAACACCAAUGGCGAAGGCAGCUCGCUGGAACGGAACUGACGCUCAGGCACGAAAGCGUGGGGAGCAAACAGG